rnacentral:rRNA from 1 species
GACGAACGCUGGCGGCGUGCCUAAUACAUGCAAGUCGAACGAGUGGCGGACGGGUGAGUAACACGUGGGAACCUACCCAUCAGAGGGGGAUAACUACUGGAAACGGUGGCUAAUACCGCAUACUAUCGGAUGAACCCAUAUGGGAUUAGCUAGUAGGUGGGGUAAAGGCUCAACCAGGCGACGAUCUCUAGCUGGUCUUAGGGGAUGAUUAGCCACCCUGGGACUGAGACACGGCCCAGACUCCGACGGGAGGCAGGAGGGGGGAAUAUUGCAAAAUGGGCGACAGCCUUAUGCAGGCAUGCCGCGUGUAUGAAGAAGGCCUUAGGGUUGUAAAGUACUUUCAGCGGGGAGGCGUUACCCGCAGAAGAAGCACCGACUAACUCCGUGCCAGCAGCCGCGGUAAUAC